AAUUUCAAUGUAACAAUAUUACAAGAGAUAAUUUAACCUUCCGUGCACUAGGUGGGGUGUGACACACGCCCAGUCCUCGACAGUUCAAAAUUAUUUAAAAACUAUAAAAGCGCAGUAGUACAUGUUCUGAGUAGCUGGAGAUGAGAUGUUGCCGCUUCAAUUGGCGCCAUUAUGUUAGUCCGAUGACUGCCGCCAAUCUAGUUACGAGCGUGUUAAGUUUAUGUGGGUAUCAUUAUUAAGAUUUCACUUUAUAGAAGAAUAUGUCUAAAUUGUGAAACAAAUGAGUUUGAGUCACAAAAUGAGAAUUUCAAGGAAGAAUCUGAAAAUGACUCCGAUCAUUUGAACAUCAAAAGUGAUAUAAAUAGGAAAUUUGAAGCUGAGUUACCUUGUGUAAAAAAUGUAACACGCCAAUAUAUAUGGAGCAUGCUGAUUUCUUUGUCAAGAAUGCCACAAUUUUGAUAACAAUGAUCUCAAUUAAAAUUAUUGUUUAAUACGUUUAUUUCUACUUUAGUUCUUAGUAAUUUGUUGAUUCCUAAAUUUAAAGAAUUGUGAUAAUUUACAUGUGCCAUUUAAAAUUAGUAUAUAGAAAAUAAAAAGUUGUUUUCUUAAUGUUAAAAAA